UACGAAGGGGACUAGCGUUGUUCGGAAUCACUGGGCGUAAAGCGCACGUAGGCGGAUAUGUCAGUCAGGGGUGAAAUCCCGGGGCUCAACCUCGGAACUGCCUUUGAUCACAGCAUAUCUUGAGUCCGAUAGAGGUGGGUGGAAUUCCUAGUGUAGAGGUGAAAUUCGUAGAUAUUAGGAAGAACACCGGUGGCGAAGGCGGCCCACUGGAUCGGUACUGACGCUGAGGUGCGAAAGCGUGGGGAGCAAACAGG
rnacentral:rRNA from 1 species